rnacentral:rRNA from 1 species
AUUGAACGCUGGCGGCAUGCCUUACACAUGCAAGUCGAACGGCAGCACGGGGCAACCUGGUGGCGAGUGGCGAACGGGUGAGUAAUGCAUCGGAACGUGCCAUUGAGUGGGGGAUAACGUAGCGAAAGUUGCGCUAAUACCGCAUAUUCUGUGAGCAGGAAAGCAGGGGACCGCAAGGCCUUGCGCUCUUUGAGCGGCCGAUGUCAGAUUAGCUAGUUGGUGAGGUAACGGCUUACCAAGGCGACGAUCUGUAGCGGGUCUGAGAGGAUGAUCCGCCACACUGGAACUGAGACACGGUCCAGACUCCUACGGGAGGCAGCAGUGGGGAAUUUUGGACAAUGGGGGCAACCCUGAUCCAGCCAUGCCGCGUGAGUGAAGAAGGCCU